CGAGGCGAGUGAGGGAGUUCGACCGGAGUAGCCGACUUGGGCGAGAUGCCGGAAGGUGUCCGCCGAGGCCGACGUCGACGGUCGGGCUGAGAGGCUGGAAGGUCUGCGGACCGGACGGCGACCCCCAGAACCUGAUCCGGGCAAUGCCGGCGAAGGGAACCCGUCUCGUAGGUCC
rnacentral:ncRNA from 15 species